GACGAACGCUGGCGGCGUGCUUAACACAUGCAAGUCGAACGGAAAGGCCCUGCUUUUGUGGGGUGCUCGAGUGGCGAACGGGUGAGUAACACGUGAGUAACCUGCCCUUGACUUUGGGAUAACUUCAGGAAACUGGGGCUAAUACCGGAUAGGAGCUCCUGCUGCAUGGUGGGGGUUGGAAAGUUUCGGCGGUUGGGGAUGGACUCGCGGCUUAUCAGCUUGUUGGUGGGGUAGUGGCUUACCAAGGCUUUGACGGGUAGCCGGCCUGAGAGGGUGACCGGCCACAUUGGGACUGAGAUACGGCCCAGACUCCUACGGGAGGCAGCAGGGGGGAAUAUUGCACAAUGGGCGGAAGCCUGAUGCAGCAACGCCGCGUGCGGGAUGACGGCCUUCGGGUUGUAAACAGCUUUCGCCUGUGACGAAGCGUGAGUGACGGUAAUGGGUAAAGAAGCACCGGCUAACUACGUG
rnacentral:rRNA from 1 species